rnacentral:rRNA from 1 species
AGUGAACGCUGGCGGUAGGCCUAACACAUGCAAGUCGAACGGCAGCACAGUAAGAGCUUGCUCUUACGGGUGGCGAGUGGCGGACGGGUGAGGAAUACAUCGGAAUCUACUUUUUCGUGGGGGAUAACGUAGGGAAACUUACGCUAAUACCGCAUACGACCUACGGGUGAAAGCAGGGGAUCUUCGGACCUUGCGCGAUUGAAUGAGCCGAUGUCGGAUUAGCUAGUUGGCGGGGUAAAGGCCCACCAAGGCGACGAUCCGUAGCUGGUCUGAGAGGAUGAUCAGCCACACUGGAACUGAGACACGGUCCAGACUCCUACGGGAGGCAGCAGUGGGGAAUAUUGGACAAUGGGCGCAAGCCUGAUCCAGCCAUACCGCGUGGGUGAAGAAGGCCUUCGGGUUGUAAAGCCCUUUUAUUAGGAAAGAAAAGCAGCAGGUUAAUACCCCGCUGUUCUGACGGUACCCAAUGAAUAAGCACCGGCUAACUUCGUG